GAUGAACGCUAGCGGCAGGCCUAACACAUGCAAGUCGAGGGGCAGCACGAUAAAGCUUGCUUUAUUGGUGGCGACCGGCGCACGGGUGCGUAACGCGUAUGCAACCUACCCUGUACUGGGGGAUAACCCGGAGAAAUUCGGACUAACACCCCAUAGUAAUAUACUUUCGCAUGUUAGUAUAUUUAAAGGUUACGGUACAGGAUGGGCAUGCGUCCUAUUAGCUAGAUGGUGAGGUAACGGCUCACCAUGGCGAUGAUAGGUAGGGGGCCUGAGAGGGUGGUCCCCCACACUGGUACUGAGACACGGACCAGACUCCUACGGGAGGCAGCAGUGAGGAAUAUUGGUCAAUGGGCGCAAGCCUGAACCAGCCAUGCCGCGUGCAGGAAGAAUGCCCUAUGGGUUGUAAACUGCUUUUAUUUGGGAAUAAACCUCUUUACGUGUAGAGAGCUGAAGGUACCAAAUGAAUAAGCACCGGCUAACUCCGUG
rnacentral:rRNA from 1 species